UCCCACUCAUUAUCUUUGUUGCUUAAAGUUUCCCAUUCUUUCUCUCCCCUUCUUCUUCUUCUUCUUCUUCUUCUUAUCACUUCUUUCCUCUUCUCAUCAUCAACAUCAACAACAAAAACACAUUCAAUUUUUUUCUUCAUGUGUCCCUAAUUUUAGAGAAUAUGACAGACCCACCAUUCAUUUUUUUAAAAAAAGACUGACUAAGUCUUUUUUUUAAAAAAAAAAAAUUACAUUUUUUUUUUUAAAUUUUUGUUCUUCAUGCGAUCAUGGAAGGAGGUGAUGAACUUCACCACCAUCAUCACCAUCACCACCAGAAUCACCACCACCAACAGCACCACCAACACCGUCCUACUUUCCCAUUUCAAUUACUUGAAAAGAAAGAUGAGGAUGCUGCCUCUUGCUCCACUUCUCCUUACCCUUCUCUUGCUAUCUCUGCCGACACGGCUACUACGACCCCGACCACGACCAGUUCAGUUGUUGCUGCAGAAACUUCCAAGAAGCCCCCACCAAAGAGAACCUCUACCAAAGACCGUCACACGAAAGUUGACGGUCGGGGUCGUCGUAUCCGAAUGCCGGCCUUAUGUGCUGCUAGGGUAUUCCAACUUACUAGAGAAUUAGGCCAUAAGUCCGAUGGUGAAACCAUUGAGUGGCUUCUUCAACAAGCGGAACCCGCUGUGAUUGCCGCUACCGGAACCGGUACUAUCCCGGCUAAUUUCACAUCGCUUAACAUUUCGUUACGUAGCUCUGGUUCCAGUAUGUCGGUUCCUUCACAGCUCCGAUCUUCCUCUUAUUAUAACCCGAAUUUCUCCCUUCAUCAACAACGUCGAACCCUUUUCCCGGGUUUCGGCCUCUCGUCGGAAACCUCCUCCACCGCCGCUCUUCUCAAUUUCCAGUCCACCAACAUCGGAAACUCUCUGCUUCAAGCCAAACCCGAAAUAAGAGACACUCCCUCUUCGUUAGACCUCUCAGAUGCGGCGGAGGAAAUCAGUAUAGGACGGAAGAGAAGACCGUCGACGGAGCAGGAGUUGUCGUCGUCGUCGUCGCAACAUCAAAUGGGGGGUUAUCUGUUGCAAUCGAGUACAGGAACGAUUCCAGCGAGUCACGGAGGAGCUCAGGUUCCGGCAAAUUUUUGGAUGCUUACGAAUACAAAUAACCAAGUGAUGGGGGGUGAUCCGAUAUGGACGUUUCCGUCGGUUAAUAACAGCGGUUUGUACAGAGGAACGAUGUCGAGUGGGUUACAUUUCAUGAACUUUCCGGCACCGGUGGCGUUGGUGCCAGGUCAGCAAUUCGGGUCCAGCACCGGCGGAGGAAGUAAUAAUAAUAAUAACAAUAAUAAUAGUUCCAGUACUGAAGGACACUUAAAUAUACUCGCCGGACUAAAUCCAUAUCGUUCGGUUUCUAAUACUGGCGUAAUGGAACCACAAGGAAGUGGGUCGCAGUCACAUCAUGGCGGCGGUGGAGAUGAUCGGCAUGAUACAACGAGUCACCAGUCUUAACAAAAACGGAAAAACGGAAACUGUCGAAUAUCUUCGCCGUUCCGUCCCGUCCACAUGUGUGGUCGUUUGAUGUGUGGAAACACACGUGAGGGUGUGAUGAAUGAGAGGGAUAGAGACAGAGAGAGAAAAAAGAGUGUAAGAGUAUCAUCUUCACAUAUUUAUGACGAGAAAAAAAAAUUAAUUUAAUUUAUCAUCAUCUUCAUCAUCAUUAUAUUAAUUAUACAUAUUGUUUGUUAUAAGUUUUGUGACAU